UUUCUUACUGAAAUUUAUCUCAGAUUAAUAUUGACACAAAGGGCUGUUUUCAAUUAUUAGCCUUAUCAAAGCAAUAACUUUUUGAUAGAGAAAAUAUUGCUAUGAAAUAAGGAGACUUUUUUUCUGUCUACACAAGAAUAAAUAAAUAAAUUACUGUCUACAAUCUAAGAAAGAAAUAGAAAAGUUUGACAUAUGUUUCAUAGCAGGUAGUGGGCUCUUAAGAUUUCUGAAACAAACACGAUCCAGAAGGCUGUUCAUCUCCAUUUUGUGUUUCUGUCCAACAAAAAGAGAAACAGGAAAAGUCCCAGAUCUGGAAUUCUUGUUCAACCAAAAUGUCUCAUAUGAAGACCAACAAAGAUGGCUGACGGAUCUCUGGGAAGAAGUUUAGAUGGUUUACCUCUUUGGAAUCUGCAGCAACCCCCAGUCAGGAAACUUCAUAAUUCUUUGGCUGAGCUGAACAUUGAACCAUGAACCUCAAAGGAGCCUAAACUCUCUCAGGGACUGGAACAUCCUGAUGUAAUGAUUCAGCACAGCCUUGGCUUCCAUGACAGCUUAAUAAGGUUUUUCUGAUGCAGUUAAGGUCAUCCAGUGAUAUACCAUAGGUCUGUCCACCUAUUCACCUGCUGCUCCCAGACAACACCUGUAGCUGAUGGAUGAUUUUUGUGGAAUCUGGCAGACAGGAGCAGCAAGACAAGACAUUUGUCAUUUCAUGUGCAGUGAGAAAAAAACCUGUGUGAGGGCAUCCUUCCUGGCACCCUGUAUCACCUGUAACUACAACAUCAUUCUGGAGUCAGCUGAUACACAAAAUCACCAGAGGCAGUGAAGAUGACAGAUGUGAUCCUAAUGUAGUUGCAGUCAGUGACAACGUUCCCCUUGGCUUCUCUGCCCUUGAGAUCUGUUUUGAAUGGACUGCUUCACUCAGGAUGCUGAAAACCACCCCCAGAUACUGAAAUAUGGUCCCUCCUGGAAGCUCACAUCUGCUGGUUUAAUCCAUUUUCCAUGAAACCCCACUCAUCACAAGAGCACACACGACAAGGGUGAUGCUAGCACCAGGCAGCUUUGCAGGGCUAAGAGUUGGAACCAGUCACUGCCCUUAAAAGUCAAAGUAAUAUUUAACUUGACAUUUGGUAGCACAACUGAACUCUGUUUCCCCAAGCUUAUGAAAGUUUCCUUGAUCAUGAAGUUACUACCAGUUUGAGGCUGUUGUUCCAAUGAUCCCUGAGAAUCUGUAAUCUUGAAGCAGACCAGUCACAGGAUUUGUUGUGUAUGAUAGAAUGAAAUUGCAUGUUAGACUGUGAGUUUUGUGGACAAAAAUGGUUUACAAAGCAUUCAGGUUCUCCAAUGAAGGACUUGCAAAGUAUCUGGAUAAUAAAUUGCAGGAUAAAGACUGGUCAAAUCUGGGGUAUAUUCCUGAUGGGAUCUCUCUCCAUAUUCAGACCAUCAAGAGAUUUUUGAUGUGUUUCAGGUAGGAAAGCAGGGAAACAGUGCUCAAAGCCUGGAGCCCAAAUAAGUAUUUUUAAAUGAGUGUUCACAGCAAAUUCUAGUUUUAAUGGAUGCCAAGAGAUUACCUGUCAAUAAAAUAUGAGGGCCCUAAAUACAUUCAUUUUGAUGUGGUUACUUAAGUGAACUAUUUGAUUCAGGACCUGAGUCAGUGAAGAAUGAUGCAAAGAGAUUUGUGUCUCUAACUCAUUGAACUGCCUUGGUGGGGUGUUGACUUGGUGGGCAACUAAGGACCUUAACUCACUAAAGCUCUUAAACAGAUGAAAUUAGAUAUAAUUUGGGUAUAUUUUGAUAUAAUUAGAUAUAUUAUAUAUAUUAGAUAUAUUUUGGGUAGAAACCCAAAAUUACAUUUGUGGCAUUCAGAGUGUGAACUCAUCUAUGCAGACUGGAAUUUAAAGAGGAUCCUAAGAACUAAAAUCUAAUUUGAUGACCUCCUGCCUCUCCAUCAUACAGUAUAAUGCUACACCAAGCAAACCUGUGCCCCAACUUUUCCUCUUAGGCACCCACCUCAUGUAAAAAUAGGAGCAAAUGGAGCAAGAAUCUACCUGUUAAUGUACAUCUGGCUCCACAGGAUUUGUGACCAAUGUUGGUAUUACGUCAACCUAUGAUUACACAAGGUAGACCAAG